rnacentral:siRNA from 1 species
AGGAUGGGUGACCUCCCGGGA